rnacentral:sRNA from 1 species
CCUUCCUUCCUUCUUUCCUUUUUGAGAGAAGGUCUCUCUGUAUGGCCCAGGCUGGCCUUGAACCUGUGAACCUCUUGACUCUUACCGAGUGCCGAGAUUGCUUAUGUGCACCACUGUGCCUGGCUUCCAUGAUCUCUAGAGACCCUUCCUAAAGAUUUUUUCUAUAUUACUACUAGCGACCAUGGGGACUUCCCUGGUCGGGGCAGCUGCUGGGGACUGGGGAGAUGUACAGAGGCUGUACAGAACUGGCCCUGCUCCUCACCGGCUACUGGGCUUUGGAGAGCUGGCCCCACCUCUUACCAUGGGCAACCCUGGGAAGAGUGAGCCCUGUGCUUUGCCUGAACAGUGCAGCAGAGUUGACCCUGGUGGUCGGGGUGCAGGGGAACCAGCACCAAGGGUGAGAGCAUGGAAGAGCUGGUCUGACCACUCCUCUGCCACAAGAUGGUGUGGGAUAGGGCAAUGCCCUUCCUUGCUUCCUCCCUUGCUACUUGGGGCAGUUGGGAGAGCUGGCCCUGGGAUCAUGAGAUCAAGUGAGCUGGCCCUACCUUUUUACUAGCUGCAGCACUCAGGAGAGUAAGCCUGUGUCCUUCUCACCUAGUAUGCUGACCCUGGUAGAGAGAGCAUGGGUGAACUGGCUUGAGCUAGCCUUUUUUCCUGCCAAUGAUGGCAUUGGGUAGCCUACCCAGAGCAGUACUGGAGAACUCACCUUGGUGGUGUGGAUAAGGAAAAGGUGACAGGCUGACCAGUUUAGUUACCACCCAGACCCAGAUCCAGAAUUCAGAGUUGGCCUGUCCCCAAAUCUAUGUUAUAUGUGAGCGGUUGGGCCAGUCCUGCUGACCCAAAACUGCAGGAUCUCCAUGACACAGGGCAACAGCAAGAUGAUGGGGAAGAGUCCCCAUGCUGGUCCAAUAUUGAUGGUGUUAUGGAAACCAAAGACCUUGAGAGGAUGGGGAGAUGAGGAGGACUGGGGUGCAUGAUGUGAAACUAACAAAAAAUCAAAAAGUUUUAAAAAACAAAAUAUAAAAAUGAAAGAUACAAGACUUCCAAACUGACAUUCACGGCCAUCAUCACCAUCACCACCACCAUCAUCACCAUCAUCAUCAUCUCUAUUGAUGUCAUUGGAUAUCAUGAUAAUCAUCACCACCAUCAUCAUCACGAUCACUAUCCUCUCCAUUGAUGUCAUUGUCAUCAUCAUUUGGUAAUUUCAGAAUCAUAGAAUCAUACAUCUCCCACAUGAGAGUCUUCUAGUGUGGGUGAUUCAUCUCAUGGGAAUCUGGCGUCAGUUCAGAAGAGACUACUUCUGGGUAUUUAGCAGCCAAGGCUAUGAUUUCAACAGCUGAAAACGGCGUGCCCACUAUAAUACAAUAUGUCAAAGCGAUCGUAAGUUUUAUAACAAUAAUAAUGUUAACUGUUAUAUCAUUUGACUGUGAAUUUCGCCUAGUAAUCUGGUCAGCACACAAAGUGAAUUGACACCACAUGCUGCAAAGAAAAUAAUCUACAAGGACCUUUCGGUAACCUGUCAGUCACUCUCCCAAUGGGCACGUUCAAAGCAGCUAAGGAUGUCUGUAGAGUGCUUCUUCAGAGAGCCCUUACAGAAGCUAGUCUGCUUUUGAUGGAUGAACACUUUCCCCAGGGCCAUGGAGUGACUAAUGCUUGGCCUAACAUCUGGUCCUCUUCGCAGCCAGUUUUCUUUUCUACAUAAAGAACCAACUCCUUCAUCCCACUCUGGAUUCCUUUCCAAGUUGCUGUGGGUCUCAUGGCCCUCACUGGCUGGUUUAGAUGAAUCAUCCAGCACUGAAGAGCUGUCACACACCCCUACUUAAGAGGAGAUCCCUGUAGAAUCUGCCUUCUCAGAAUCCUCUCUUUUUUAUGUUCGUUUUGCCUAAUCAAAGGGUCAGAAUUUUGCUUGUGCCUAUUCAUGAUGAUCUCCGAAACUUUAUCAGGACUUUAUCAGGAGGUUCAUAGAAAUGGCCUUUUAAUACAUUUAUUUUCUAAUAGAGAUAUGGAUAGAAUUUAAAAGUCAAAUUCAUUUGCUAGUGUCAAUAAUAGAGCCAGCCCAACUCUGGAACUCAACUUUUUACUCUUGCUUCCUGGUCCUCAAGGUAAACACUGUCUAGUCUUUCAAAUAUGUCUUCUAUCUCUUGGAAAAUAUAUUUUAUGUUCCUGUUUUCAAAUGUUCAGUUUCCUAUACUGUGUAUUGACUCUCCCUUCUGAAAUACAAUUUCUUAGCUCCUGACUUUGCACUCACUCUAAGGUACUCAUGUACACAACUCAUCCUGUCAUCCCUCAGGGCUGUCUAUCAGAUACCUGUUACUGCACACAAGUUACUGCAGAAGCUAGCGCCAUGAAGGAACAAACAUUUACUCUUGUCCUAUUGAUGUGGGACGGGGACAUGGAUCAUUUAACUGAGCAGUCCUGGUUCAGACUCCUCCAUGAACUUGAAGACGCCUGAGGAUUCUUAGUGCGUCUGCGAGCCCCUUUGACUUGUAAGGGACAUCCACAGGUUCCCAUCACUCUCCCCACUAUGACUGUGGGCUCAUCAGUCAUGUUCUGCAACAUGUGUCAGAGCCAAUCAAAAUCACGGCUCCUUUCUCUGCAGCUUUUCUAUUCUCUUUGGUGCUAAACUUGUGUCUCUUUCCCCAUGUGCUUACUUUUAGGGUUCUGAUCAUCAGUCCUUCCGUGAGCUGUGAACAAAGCCGGCAUUCGUCCCUAACCGUACCAGCUCCAUCCUCUCCCUAGCUAUAGUCCUCGAGUCUCUCUUCUUCCUGUUUGGAUUCGUCUCCAUGGGCUUACAGCACAGACACUGUCUUGGGAUUUUCCACCAUUCUUAUCCAAAGGUUUCAUUUUCCUAACACUUGCUUUUUACAUUUUGAUUUCUUUUUCCGUUAAUAGGUAUCGACUGCAUGUAUUAGUGGGGCCUGAUGUGAUGUUCAGCUCAUGCAUACAGCAUGUCUGUACCAGCUUGUCUCCUCAUCCCACUUUCCCUUCCGCCCACCCUAGCACUCUGGAAGUCACGAUUCAACUUUGACACUUUUAAAGUUUCCACAAACGAGAGCAUCCACAGGGUGGUAUGGUAUGCCCAUUGUGUGACAGGAAUCCAUUCGUCUUUAUGGCUAUGUAACAUUCAAUUACACACACACACACACACACACACACACACACACACACACACACACCACCUUCCUUCACCGAUUCCUGGGCAGUCAAGUUGACUCCAUAGCUUAGAUAACUGUAAAAAGGCACUUCGGUAAAUUACACAGGCACCGGCAUGCAGGUACCUGGUGUGUAGAUUUGUUUCCUCUGCACAUAUAGCCUGAAGUGAGGUAGUUGGAUCACAGGAUUUUCCACAGUGGCUGAACCAACUUACAUUUUUCUGCCAGCAGUGUUUGAGAGUUCUGUAUCUUCACCAGCAUUUACCCUUCUAACCUUUUGCCAAUAACCACUUUACCGGGAAUGAGAUGGUACCUCACCAUCGUUUUGACUUUCAUUUCUCUGAAAUUUAAAAUUGGAUAUUUAAAAAUACCACUGUUGGUCAUUCUGCAUUUCUUUAUUUGAAAAAUAAAUGUCUGUUGGGAUCCUGUGGCCAUUUUUAGAUGCAAAUUCUUUGUGGGUUUCGUUAUCUCUUGUUGCCGUUGUUACUAAGUUCUCUGAGCAUCCUCUAGACUCUGGAUAUAAAUCCUUUGGCGGGUGAACAGCGGGCGACUCCCUGGUUCUGGACCACAGGGCGUGGAUGCUCGUAGAGCUGCUUCAGUGGCCUUUCUGCCAAGUUGACUUUCGUUGGUGGGGAACAUGGAAAUUGGAGGGAGAGGAGAUGAUGUAGGGGUAUCUUUUCUCCAGAUUGGUCCUCGCUGGGUGGACACGCCCCCUGUUUCUGACGUCAGGACUCAGCUUCCCACUCUUCCAUCCUCCGGCUACUCCCACGGUCCACGAGCAGGUUCCUUGCGCUUCCGUUACUGGCUUCUUUGGGGCUGGUGAGCUGCCAUGAGGUAAACAGCUUCCUCCGACACACUCUCCACUGUGAUUCUCGAGUGACUCUUACGGCAGAAAGCACUUUGCUGAGGAUAAUUGACUGUGUUCCAGGACUACCUGUAAAACAGAAACAUUGUAACAGAAGAGAACACUGCCCGGUGCUGGGAAUGCUGUCCCGGACAGAGUUCAGCUUCUACUAUUGCAGCUCAAGUAGUCUGACCAUUUGAAAAGCACAGUAACGGAGUCCUAGUCAAACUCACAAGGUUCUCCAUGGGCAGCAGAGACCCCAGGGACGUCAAGGAGAGCGAAUACUGUUCUCCUGCCUUUGAUGGAACCAAACAGAGCAAUCGAUGCUUCAUGAUUUUCAUAAACUGGGGGACCAGCAGACACCUGAGCUCCUGGUGGAGGAUUCUAGUAGCUCCAGAUGAAUCCUGAGGCAGCAGGAUCUUUGGCUCUCAAGAACAAUCUAGAACAUGUUCACCUGAAGGUGCAUCUGCUGUGGGAAGGAAGGCUCCCGAGUCCAAUGUGGGUAGAUCCUGAAGAAGACUCCAGAGACAGGGUGUUGAGGAAGGAGAGGUGUCUACAUAAGCUCCCCCAUGAAGCAGAGAGCCCUGAGGUGAUGAAGAGGGAGUGACUAAUGACAGGAGUAUUUCCCAGCCUCACCCUGCCUUCAUCACUGGGAUGCUAAGCCCAGGCUUUAAGGAACAGAUCCACUUAAAGGUCCUUGGGGUUCAGAAAAGUCUAGCUUGGACCGCACUGAAAAGAUAGAAUUGGAAACAGGCAGCCCCUAUUCAAAUUCACUUUGUAUGCAGCAGACUGCCCUAUUUUGGACUGGUGCUCAGAGGAGCACCAGCCGUGGAUGGCUGAUCUUCUAUCCAGUGUGGUAGAAAGAAUGCCCGUUCUCCAGCCUACUCAUAGCUAGAAGCACUUCCACACUCCCCAGGAUUGGAGACACACUCUGGGCCUAACACAGGACCUCUCUGUAUUAUUAGGAUACAUGUCCCUCGAGAUACCUAGUUAUAUUUGAUGCUUGAUUCUCCUGCACAGUGCCCCUGUACUGAGGACCAGCUUCCUGGGGGACAUUCUUGUUUUUCAGACAGUUCAUUUCUACUACAUAAGGUGGUUUUCAGCCCCACCAUUCCCUCAGUUGUUGUCUGAUCAGUGGAGGACAGAACAUACCAGUGCUCGACUAUGAAACAGAUGUCUAGUGACUGGAGGCAUGUGGCUCAUUCCCUCAUGUCUUCUCUUAACCAGGAAUCCGGUUGCCCAUUUGAUUUGGUUUAGCUUGGAUGUAAGUUCUCUCACCACGCUGCAGUUCUCCCUAGGCUAUGUUGCUGGUGGGAUAGCAAUAUUAGCAACACGUACAUCACCGUGACCGAAAUGCUUGUGCUGCCCAAGGUGUCAGAAUUUAAAAUAAAGAUGGGAACAAACCUCUGGCAAUGUCUUGUAAGUGAACUUCUAGAUUAGAUUAAUGUAGAUGAGAAGACCUACUCUAAAUGUAGGCAGUACCAGUCCACGGACUAGAGUCCCGAGCUUGAUAAAGAGAAGGAAACAGGGCUGGACAGAUGGCUCCAUGGUUAAGAGCAUUUGCUGCCACUGCAAGGGGUCAAGGUAUUGUUCAAAUCACCUACAUGGUGGCUCACAACCACCUGUAACUUCCAGAGAAUCUAACACCCUCUUCUGACCUCUA